rnacentral:rRNA from 1 species
CCCUCCGGGGCGCACCAGUGAGAUUGCGGCAGCUCUUGGCAUCGAUGACUCGACGGCAUCACGGCUUUUGAAGCGGCUCUGCGCCGCACGACUUAUCACAAAAACGCAGUACGGCGAGUAUGCCUUGCUGGAAAACGGCAUACAAAGUAUGCAAAGUGUACAAACUUGAAGCUGAACUUUGUAUGGAUUGUAUACUUUGUAUGGCACUUUGAGAGGGCUGGCGGGCUUCGUGCCCGCUGCCCUUGCCCUGACAACGCGCAACGCACCGACUGGCGGCUACCGGAUAUGCCCUCGCCAAAAAAGGCAAGCUUCAAGGUGUACAUCCACACCAUGCUAUCGCACACAAAAGAUUUGACAAAGAUUGAAA